GAACAUCAGAAUGGGAGAUAUAUGUUGCUACUUGCCUUCCACCUUCUCUGAGGAAAAGAGUAAAUAAGAAACACAGUCAUACAAGAGUCUUCAUUCCAGAAGUGAUCUAGGAAUCAUGCUGGAGAAGUUCUGCAACUCUACUUUUUGGAAUUCCUCAUUCCUGGAUAGCCCGGAGGUGGACCUGCCACUUUGUUUUGAGCAAACUGUUCUGGUGUGGAUUCCCUUGGGCUUCCUUUGGCUCCUGGCCCCUUGGCAGUUUCUCUAUGUGUAUAGAUCCAGGACCAAGAAAUCUUCUAUAACCAAACUCUACCUUACUAAGCAGGUGCUUGUUGGGUUUCUUCUUAUUCUGGCAGUCAUAGAUCUGGCCCUUGCACUCACAGAAGACACUGGACAAGCCACAGUCCCUGCCGUUAGAUAUACCAAUCCAAGCCUCUACUUGGGCACAUGGAUCCUGGUUUUGCUGAUCCAACACAGCAGGCGAUGGUGUAUACAGAAGGACUCUUGGUUCCUGUCCGUGUUCUGGAUUCUCUCAAUACUCUGUGGCACUUUCCAGUUUCAGACUCUGAUCCGGACACUCUUAAGGGGCAGCAAUCCUAACCUGGCCUAUUCCUGCGUGUUCCUCAUCUGCUAUACACUCCAGAUCCUGGUCCUGAUCCUUUCAGCAUUUUCAGAAAAAAAUGACUCAUCAAAACAUCCUUCAACCACAGCUUCAUUUCUGAGUAGCAUCACCUUUAGUUGGUAUGACAGCAUUGUUCUGAAAGGCUUCAAGAAACCUCUGACGCUUGAAGAUAUCUGGGAUAUUGAUGAAGAGACUAAAACAAAGACACUAGUCAGCAGGUUUGAAAAGUACAUGGCAGGAGAGCUGCAGAAGGCCCGGCAGGCAUUCCAGAAACGGCAGCAGAAGAACUCCCAGUGGAACCCUGGAGCCAGGCUGCAUGGGUUGGACAAGAACCAGAGUCAAAGCCAAGAUGUCCUUGUCCUGGAAGAAACUAAAAAGAAUAAAAAGAAGUCUGAGGCCACUAAAGACUUCCCCAAGUCCUGGUUGGUGAAAGCCCUCUUCAAAACUUUCUACGUCAUCCUCCUGAAAUCAUUCCUGCUGAAGCUGGUGUAUGACAUCCUCAUGUUCCUGAACCCUCAGCUGCUGAAAUUGCUGAUCUCCUUUGCAAAUGACCAUGACAUAUAUCUGUGGACUGGGUAUCUCUAUUCAAUCCUCUUCUUCGCCGUGGCCCUCAUCCAGUCUGUCUGCCUUCAGUAUUACUUUAAACUGUGCUUUAUGCUGGGCAUGAAAGUACGGACCACCAUCACGGCUUCUGUAUAUAAGAAGGCGCUGACUCUAUCCAACCAGGCCAGGAAGCAGUACACCAUUGGAGAAACAGUGAACCUGAUGUCUGUGGACUCCCAGAAGCUCAUGGACGUGACCAACUUCAUCCAUCUGCUGUGGUCAAAUGUUCUACAGAUUUGCUUGUCCAUCUACUUCCUGUGGGCAGAGUUGGGACCCUCAGUCUUAGCAGGUGUUGGGGUGAUGGUGCUCCUAAUCCCAAUUAAUGGGGUAAUUGCCACCAAGAAUAGGGCUAUUCAGGUUAAAAAUAUGAAGUAUAAAGACAACCGUUUAAAGAUCAUGAAUGAGGUUCUCAGUGGGAUCAAGAUCCUGAAAUAUUUUGCCUGGGAGCCUUCAUUCCAAAACCAAGUCCACGACCUUCGUAAGAAAGAGCUCAGGAACCUGCUGACGUUUGGGCAGUUGCAGUCUGUGAUGAUAUUUCUCUUAUACUUAACUCCGGUGCUGGUGUCUGUGAUCACAUUUUCCGUUUACGUCCUGGUGGAUAGCAAUAAUAUUCUGGAUGCAGAAAAGGCCUUCACCUCCAUCACCCUCUUCAAUAUCCUGCGAUUUCCCAUGAGCAUGCUUCCCAUGAUAGUAUCCACCAUGCUCCAGGCCAGUGUUUCCGUAGAACGGCUAGAGAAAUAUUUGGGAGGGGAUGACUUGGACACAUCUGCCAUUCGACAUGACUGCAAUUUUGAUAAAGCUGUGCAGUUUUCUGAGGCAUCCUUUACCUGGGACCACAAUUCGGAAGUCACAAUCCAAGACGUGAACCUAGACAUUAUGCCAGGCCAACUGGUGGCUGUGGUGGGCACUGUGGGCUCUGGGAAAUCCUCCUUGAUGUCAGCCAUGCUGGGAGAAAUGGAAAAUGUCCACGGGCACAUCACGGUCAAGGGUAUAAAUCUCAGUGGGGGUCAGAAGCAGCGGAUCAGCCUGGCCAGAGCUACCUAUCAAAAUUCAGACAUCUAUAUUCUGGAUGACCCCUUAUCUGCUGUGGAUGCUCAUGUGGGAAAACAUAUUUUUAAUAAGGUCUUGGGUCCCAGUGGCCUGUUGAAAGGCAAGACUCGACUCUUGGUGACACACAGCAUUCACUUUCUUCCCCAAGUGGAUGAGAUUGUGGUUUUGGGGAAUGGCAUCAUCGUGGAGAAGGGAUCCUACAGCACUCUGUUGGCCAAGAAAGGAUUGUUUGCUAAGAAUCUGAAGACAUUCAUAAAACAGACAGGUCCUAAAGACGAGCCCACAGUCAAUGAGGACAGUGAAGAAGAUGACUAUGGGCUGAUGCCCAGUGUGGAGGAAAUCCCUGAAGAUGUGGCCUCCUUGUCCAUGAAAAGAGAGAACAGUCUUCAUCGAACAUUUAGUCGCAGUUCUAGGUCCAGUAGCAGGCGUCUGAAGCCCUUAAAAGACUUGAAAACUCGGAAUGUGAAUAUCCUGAAGGAGGAGGAAGAACCAGUGAAAGGGCAAAAACUAAUUAAGAAGGAAUUCAUACAAACUGGAAAGGUGAAGUUCUCCAUCUACCUGAAAUACCUACAAGCAAUAGGAUGGUGUUCGAUAUUCUUCAUUAUCUUUGGGUUUGUGCUCCAUUCCGUGUCUUUUAUUGGAUCGAACCUCUGGCUCAGUGCUUGGACCCGUGACUCUAAAACCUUCAAUAGCACCAACUAUCCAGCCUCUCAGAGGGACCUGAGAGUUGGUGUCUAUGGAGCUCUGGGAUUAGCACAAGGUAUAUUUGUGCUCAUAGCAAAUCUCUGGAGUGUCUAUGGUUCCGUCCACGCAGCAAGCACUCUUCACAGGCAGCUGCUGAACAAUAUCCUUCGAGUACCCAUGAGUUUUUUUGACACAACACCCACUGGCCGGAUAGUGAACAGGUUUGCUGGCGAUAUCUCCACGGUGGAUGACACCCUCCCCACAUCUUUGCGCAGCUGGAUUUUGUGCUUCCUGGGCAUCAUCAGCACCCUGGUCAUGAUCUGCCUGGCCACUCCAGUCUUCAUCAUCGUCAUCGUCCCUCUUGGCAUCAUUUAUGUGUCUGUUCAGAUAUUUUAUGUGGCUACUUCCCGCCAGCUGAGACGACUGGACUCUGUCACCAGGUCCCCAAUCUACUCUCACUUUAGUGAGACUGUGUCAGGUUUGUCUGUUAUCCGUGCUUUUGAGCACCAGGAGCGAUUUCUAAAGCACAAUGAGAUGGUGACGGACACCAACCAGAAAUGUGUCUUUUCCUGGAUUACCUCCAACAGGUGGCUUGCAGUUCGUCUGGAGCUGAUUGGGAACCUGAUCGUCUUCUUUUCAUCCUUGAUGAUGGUUAUUUAUAGAGAUACCCUAAGUGGGGACACUGUGGGCUUUGUUCUCUCCAAUGCACUCAGUAUCACACAAACCCUGAACUGGCUAGUGAGGAUGACGUCAGAAAUAGAGACCAACAUUGUGGCUGUUGAGCGAAUAAAUGAGUACAUAAACGUGGAAAAUGAGGCACCAUGGGUGACUGAUAAGAGGCCUCCAGAAGGUUGGCCCAGCAAAGGGGAGAUCCAGUUUAGCAACUACCAAGUACGGUAUCGGCCUGAGCUGGAUCUGGUACUGAAGGGGAUCACUUGUGACAUUAAGAGCACUGAGAAGAUUGGCGUGGUGGGCAGGACAGGAGCUGGGAAAUCAUCCUUGACAAACAGCCUUUUCAGAAUCCUAGAGGCUGCAGGAGGCCAGAUCACCAUUGAUGGGGUAGAUAUUGCUUCCAUUGGGCUCCACGACCUCCGAGAGAAACUGACCAUCAUCCCCCAGGAUCCCAUCCUGUUCUCUGGGAGCCUGAGGAUGAAUCUAGACCCUUUCAACAACUACUCAGAUGAGGAGAUUUGGAAGGCCUUGGAGCUUGCUCACCUCAAAUCUUUCGUGGACGGCCUGCAAGCUGGGUUGUCCUACGAAGUGACAGAAGGCGGUGACAACCUGAGCAUAGGGCAAAGGCAGCUACUGUGCCUGGCCAGGGCUCUGCUUCAGAAAUCCAAGAUUCUGAUCAUGGACGAGGCCACUGCUGCGGUGGAUCUAGAGACAGAUCGCCUCAUCCAGACAACCAUCCAAACUGAGUUCUCCCACUGCACGACCAUCACCAUUGCCCACAGGCUACACACCAUCAUGGACAGUGACAAGGUAAUGGUCCUAGACAAUGGGAAGAUUGUAGAGUAUGGCAGCCCUGAAGAACUGCUGAAAAACACUGGCCCCUUCUAUUUUAUGGCCCAAGAAGCUGGCAUUGAAAAUACGAACUGCACAGCAUUCUGACAGCAAGUCUUACAGGUUAGAGAAGGACUAUUAGGAUCAUUCCUUAUUUUUUGUGAAGCAUAUCAUACAUAUAAAAGUGUGUGUAAAAUGUAUGUUUUAAAUAAGGGUCGUAAGUGAACACCCACGUCCCUGCCAGCCAAGAUUUUUUUAAAUGAGUAUUACCAGCUACAUCAGAAAACCCCUGAUGAUCCACUUUGAUCGUACCUCCUUGCUACCCACCCCCCACAAAAAGCACCACCAUCCUAAUUUUUGUGAUAAUUAUUCCUUUGCUUUUUGUUUUAGUUUUACCACUUGCCUUAAACAACAUGUACCAUUUUUUUAGCUUAUGCGAAUGGCCUGACUCAUAUUGCAUGUAUUCUUCUAUGACUUCUUUUGUUCAAUAUUAUAUUUGAGAUUCAUCCACGUCGAUGCGUAAGGCUGGCUCAUUCUCACUGCUCUGUAGUACAGCAGUGUGUGAAAACGUCAGUUUAUCCAAUGUAGGUUGGUCAGCAGUGGGGUUAUUUCCAGGCUUUGUUGUUUUUCCCUGUUAUGAACAGUACUGCUAUGAACAUUCUGGUACAUAAGUCCUAAGAUACAUGUGUAAGAGUUUCUUUAGGCAUAACGUAAAGGAAUGGGAGGUGUGCAUAUGUUUAAAUGCAUAUAGGAGGUAACGCCAAACUGUUAAUGCCAAUUCAAAACAUUUUUGUCAAUCUGAUGAGUAUGAAUUGGUAUCUCCUUGAGGUUUUUAAAUGUAUAGUUCCCUGGUUACCGCUGAGGUUUCCGUAUGCGGUGUCUGCUGGUUCUUGUUCACAGUGCUUUAUUUCCUUGGAUACCCUGUGAAUGUUUACCUUAAAUUGCUCAAUCUCCUUAGCAUUUUUUAAAAAACUGAAGUAUAGCUGAUUUGCAAUAUUGUGUUAGCAUUUUGCCUGUGGACAUUCUUUGAGGCCUGAGUUGAAUCUGAGCUCUCUUAAGAGGAAUUGUGAAAGCUUCUGCCUGCCACCUGGGGGCAUUACCCAGAACCAAUCUGAAUUAAAUACUUCACUAAGGGAUUUCAAACUUUACAGUUAGUGGGACUUCAGACCACAGUCCUGUGCGAGAGCCAGCUUGUGGUUUACAGAAUCUCAAGGGAGCUUCUUCCCCUUGAUCUAGCAGCAGGUUGGAGAUAGAUGUGUGGCCUUGUUGACUCCUUCCACGUGGCGGGGUUUAUUCUUCACUUACUUGUAUACCACAGUACAGCCCUUUCGGGCUCGGGUUCGUCAGAGGGUCUCCUGUAGCUUCUCCAUCUUUGGCAAGCCUUGGCGUUCUCUCUUGCCUCAGUAUCCUCUGUUGUCCACAAAGGUCAAGGUCUCCAGGUUUCAGAAGUCACCCUAAGCCUUGACCCUUCUUCUCCUUCCAGGGUUUCUUGUGUCACAUCACUUUGGGUUCAGCAUAUUCCUUACCUCCAUUUCAGUGAUGCAGUUAUGAAAGAUUUUUAUUUAUUCAUCACUGUAGCUAUUUGUUGAAUGAGAUGUUCAGAGACUUAAACUUCCUAAAUGAGGGGCUUACACAGCUGCAAGGCAGGAUGAGGAAGGGACUUGUUUCCUCCUAUUUGCUCUAUUCCCAUCAGCAUCACUCUAGCAAUGUUGGUUUCCCUGCAGUGGCAGUUUUUCCAAUACUCACAAAACCAGUGUGGUCUUGCCAGCACCAGUGGAGCAGCGCCCCCUUCUGGGAAGUCUGGGUUUCAGUUUCAGUUUUAGUGACGCCAGCCUCUUCCCUUUUGUUCCCGCGGCCCUGUGAUGUUUGCUUCUGCCCUUGCUAGCUCUCUGAUACUUGUUUUCCUUUGGCCCUUUCUUCAAUGCCUAUUUAAUGAUUCUUUAUUAUUGUUCUGUUAAAAUAACCUGUGGUUUUUGUAUCCUGCCUAACCGAAUAGGUACAACCUUGGAGAUAAUCCAGUUCAAGUCCCUUAUUUUUCAGAUAAGCACCAGACUGAGAAUGGUUAUAUGAUAUCUGGAGUCAAAACAUGAGUGUUUAUGGCAGAGCCAGGGCCAGAAACCAACUUCCUGAUUUGAUCUAAUGAUUUCUUCUUUUUCCUAUAAUGGGAGAGGGUUUUCGAUCUACCUUCUCCUGUGGAUGCAGAUGAAGAAGAGGGGAAGCGUUAUCUUUUUCUCAGUAGUGAUGACUCAGACAUCCAGUGAAGGUGGAGGGAACCAGAAGCAGCCUGGAUCCAAAACUUUGAUGAUGACUCCUCCCCUCCAGAUCUUCUGUUGGCCCAGGACCCGGGCUAGCUUCAGCACUGCAGUGGAUUUUCAAUCUUUUGGGCAGCUCUGCACGUGAACCUCAGUUCUACAUGGACUCCUCCAACUUAAGAUUCUUUGUGGGAGACCAGGGUGCAGCACUGUGAUGAGUUUCCAGUAAUCAGAUACACCUGUGCCAGAUUUUGAUUCAGCUGCUGGAGACAAGAAAGAGGGAAAUGUGUUUUGGCAAAGGUGACAGUCACUGUCAUUGUCCAGAAGUAGGCAGGGGUGGUGAUUAGUAGCAGGAUCCAGUGACGUUGUGGUGUGAUACUGAGCAUUGUUCCUGGCUUCAAAGACUCAAAUCGGGCUUUCUUAUCCUCCCAAAGAGUCGGUGAGCAACCUAUUAUUAUUUGAAAACUUCAUUUCUGCUUAAGUUUAUGGCUUGGGGAUUAUUGUGUACACUAAAUAAUGCUCCUCAGCACACUUAAUUUGCUUUUACUGUAUUUAUUUUGUUAGAUAAUUUUCUGUUUGCAUCUCCGUCACUGAGCCUCUUGAAAAUAAUUUACUCUGUUUUAUAUCUCCAGUGGCUAGAAUAUAGUAGCUACUCACUUG